AGAGACACAGAGAGAGAGAGAGAGAGCAGUUGGUUACACGAUCCACAGCUUGUGUUGUCGGCAGCAGCGAUUGGCCGGUGAACACAUGGCAGGGCUAGUGGACUAGUCGCGGCAUCACCCGCUCCCUGCACUCACUCACUUCCCGUGUGCUCGCCUCUAACAAGUCCAGCGAGGAAGUGUCGCUCAUCCGAUUGCUGCAUCUCCCGGCUAAUCUAAACUUCUGCCAACGCUGAGUUGUACGCGAUUCCCGCUUCUUUGGAUAGCUUCACCGGGGAGAGAUCUUGCAAAAUAGAAAGAAAGAUAUGAUUCUUCUAUUCGCAAUGCCAAGGCCUAGAAACUGUGUCGGUCUCCAAGAUUUCGUGUCUAUCUUCAUCUGCAGUGUUCCUUCCGAAAGCUCCAGAGAAGGCGGAUAGCUGAAUUUCUGAAUUCAUACAACCUUUACAACGAAAAUGGCAUUAAUAGGUGCGCUGAGUUAUGUUUUGUUAAUAUACAUGUACUAUUGUAAAUAGAGAAUUCUAUUGGAAGGAAAG